UGCUAGUAUCCGCACCCCUGUGAAAACGCCCUUAAUAUCCUUAUCGGAAUAAGGAGCCGGUAUCAGGCACAUCAUUCUGCCCAAGACACCUAGCUAUGCCACACCCACAAGGGACUUCAGCAGUGAUUAAUAUUGAACAUGAGCGACAGCUUGAUUCAGUUAAAGUGCACAAAGCCGGCAAAUCUGGUGCCAGCCGCCGCGGUUACACCAAGAGGCUUAAGUUGACUUCGAUCGGCGUAAAGCGUGAUUAAAGUUAUUAAAAAAAUAAAGUUAAACUACCACUAAGCUGUAGUACGCUUGUAUGUAGGAAUCUCAUAAACGAAAGUUACUUUAAUAAUAACAACUUGAACUCACGAAAGCUAGGGAACAAACUGGGAUUAGAUACCCCACUAUGCCUAGCCGUAAACUUUAAAUUACACCUCAAUCGCCCGGGAACUACGAGCAGAGCUUAAAACCCAAAGGACUUGACGGUACCCCAUAUCCACCUAGAGGAGCCUGUCCUAUAAUCGAUAACCCCCGCUUAACCUCACCAUUUUUAGCCUAUCAGCCUGUAUACCUCCGUCGUCAGCUUACCACGUGAGCGAAGUUCAGUAAGCUCAAUGUCCAUACGUCAAUACGUCAGGUCAAGGUGCAGUAAAUAAAAUGGGAAGAGAUGGGCUACAUUUUCUAUCAUAGAAUAAACGAAAGACUAUUUAUGAAACCUAGUCAGAAGGCGGAUUUAGUAGUA
rnacentral:rRNA from 1 species